rnacentral:misc_RNA from 1 species
UUUGCCUUACCUGCUAAGCUUAAUUUCUAUUUCUGUUUCGUUUUGAUUCCAAUACAAAACCCUCCUCUUUUGUCUCUCGAAUCUUCUUAGCUUCGCCUUCUCAAUCACACCCACCCAUAUGUAGAAGAUGAUGCUUUCAUUUAUAUAGACACUGCUGCAAUUCAAAUUCUGAGGAGAGGGAGGUGUUUUGGUUUAGAUUUGGACGAAGAAAUGGAUAAGAGUAAGAAGAAAGAACUAAUUCGAUUGGAAAGGGAAUCUGUAAUUCCAAUUCUCAAGCCUAAGCUCAUCAUGACAUUGGCCAACCUCAUUGAACAUAGUUCUGACCGGGCUGAAUUUCUAAAACUAUGCAAGAGAGUUGAGUACACAAUUCGAGCUUGGUAUCUUCUGCAGUUUGAAGAUUUGAUGCAACUAUAUUCCCUGUUUGACCCAGUAACUGGGGCUCAGAAAUUGGAGCAGCAGAAACUAUCUCCUGAAGA